rnacentral:sRNA from 1 species
GGCUUCUGCUCUCAGAGCCCCCGGACACUGAGUUCAUGAGGAUAGACCCCAGGAUAUUAGUGCUCUGCUCCAAGUAGAUCAUCAACAGGAGUCCAUUUAUUCCGCACCUGAAGGGGAAGAGGACACUCGACAAGCAGGAGGUAUCUGGAGAGGGCUGCACUGGAGCAGGCCAGAGGAUUCAGAACACAGGCAUGACAUGACCAUCCUCACAAUGAUGCUAAGGAGCUGCAGAUCUACAGAAGACCUCGUCCCACAAUCAUCACAAUAGGGAUCAUACAGCUGAUAGUGUGGGCACACCUGAUGCUAAACCGAAGACAGAACCGCAGUAUAUAGGACAGGUGUCAGCUGUGGGUCUCAGACAGGACUUGAGACAGCCACAGCACUUAGAAGACAGCCAGCAGUAUAUCCCGCUGAUGCAUAAAGGAACACUGCAUGUCGGUACUACCCGUAUGCCAAUGCUACACGGAGCUCCCUGGAGCAGGAAAUGUGAACACUUGGCUCUCUGGUGCUCUGGUGCAAAGAGCUGUGCUCAAAAACCUGGAAGAUGUUCAACCAGUAUUGGUCAAACGAGUAAACAGGAGUGGGAAGUCACUUUAGGUGAGUACCCGAGCGUCACACAAAAGAUGGGCUGGGAAAUAAUUAGAAAUGUAAAAUGUUUCAGGCUUUGAAGUGAGUCGUCAGGAAUAUUGUAAAUAGCCUUUUUAGCACAUAUUUAUUUUGGAGCUGCAAAUAAUGAAAGGACAAAAUGGGAAAUAAAAAUAAGGAGAACAGAUGACAUGGUUAAUGGCAUAAAACAACCUAAACAAAGCAAACAGCGUCAAGCAUAAAGAGGAGGACAAUUGCAUUUCCGUUGGCUUUUCGAGGAAAAGAAAGAGACAUAGGCUUUCUAGUCUCGGCAUCACAAAUCUGCAGUCAGAAGUAAGAGUAACCGCUUUAUGUGCAUCAGCCAGGUGUAUUCUUCCUGAGUCUAUUGCUAUAGAUUUUUCCCAUCCACAAUGGCUAAGCCAGGUUUGGGGGCUUCUCAUGUAGUGAGUAGAGAAUAGGGGUGUAGAGGUGAGCAGACUGCCCCUGUACUCAGCUUCCCACUUGCCACAUAGCUCUUGUGCAUACACUAUUGUUCAUCAGAGAAGAAAAUAGCCUGCUGGAGAAAUGAUUACGUUGUGUUAAUUUCACAGAACUUAUGACAGUAGAUUAUUUUAAAUUUAUAGACAGCUCAACAAACAAGGAUGUUCUUUUUUUAUCCAUAAUGCUCCUUUGUAUGUAUUCAUGCAAAGGUUCAUAUGUAUCCUGUCUGCUUUGUUCUUUUUAUAACACUCCCAGGUAGUCAAGACUGGCUGUUCACUGAACUCUAGAUACUUGCUUAUGUCUUCCUCUCUGCUUAGAGAUUAUAACCUCAUGAGAUUAUGACACAUGGCUAACCCUAAAAAAUAAGCAUUUUACCAACUGAUCCAUCAUCUUCCUAACUCCUAUAAAACACAUUUAAUGUUUGUUGUUCAUUUGUUGUAAAUUGAUGUCUCCCUAUUGGUCCACCUGGGGAGACUAUAACUAUUACUUGAGCUUAGGUUGCCCAUCACUGCAAGUGUUGUCUUAUUCCUCACUGUUCAGAAGCUAUGAGGUCCUGACCCUGAAGAAGACAUGGCCCAUGAUCAUAUUGUGCAUGUCAAGACACUCUUUCCCCACUCCUGGUGCCAUAGGAUUCUCCAGAGAUAGGUGAGCCUCAGGAGGUAGCACAGAGACAGCUCUGGGAUAGGAAAGACUGAGAGAUGGGCUCAAAUCUUCAUCUGAGCCCAGGGAUGUGUGCCCAGGUAUUGUAGACAUGCUGUCCUUCCCUUCCUCUGGCAUUGGACCCACUACAGUGCUUGUGUGCGGAGGGCGCUUAGAGCAUGGAAUAGGUAAACACUGCUUAUUGACUACUGGAAUUUUAAUCCUUUGAGUUUUAUAGAUGUACAGCCAGGACAUACCACCAUCUUCAUAUCAUACAACUAAGGAUGUUUCUGCAUGUUUUAGACAAGCAAUACUUUCUCACAGUGAGAACCUCCAGGGCCUCUCUAUUCAGCACAUCUUUCAGGAUUUAUGUAUUUCUAAAGAAGUAAAUUUCCGUGUGUCAGUAACCUGAAUCAGUAAAUUUACCUUUAAAUUCUCUGUAUAAGAUUUGGAUUUGCUACUCAUGUAUGUAUGCACACAAACAGACAUACCACAUGGAAAUCCCUUUUUCUGAGCCCAGUGGUUAUAGGGCUAUUAGCCCAGCUACUUGGAAGCUCAAGACAAAAGGAGUGCAUGGUCAAAGCCUGUCUAGUCUCAGAGUAAGUUCACAGCCAGUCUUGAAAAUUUAGCAAGGCCUUGUCUCAAAGCAAAAUGUAAGAAUAAAGGGUUUGGUGAGAAAGCUCAGUGGUAGAAUGCUGGCCCAGAAGGUUCAGUUCCUAGUACCACAGCACACACAUAUCGCCGCCUCUCUCUUGGACAGAGCUCUUUUGUAUUGAAGACAAUGCUUUCCAUCUAAUUCCAAUUACAUAAAAUACAUUUAAAUGUAAUAUCUAGCAGUAGUUUGCCUAGAUAUAAUAGUCAUGUAAAGAAGCCCAUAAAAUGGCCUAAUACAUUUUCUAGAGCUCUAUGUAGUUGUAUGUGUGCAUAUACACUGUCACCAGCUCACUCUAAGAGCAUUCCAUCAAAUGGAACACUGUUCCCCAAGCUCAAGAUGCUCCCUUAUAACUGCUGGUAGGAGUCACUAUUCAGACUCCCAACACCAUCAGUUUGGUCUUUUCCUUGAACGGGAAUCAUGCAAUUUUAUGUUUGAAACACAAUCUCAUGUGGCCCAGGCUAAUCUUGGACUUUCUUUUUAGUUAAAGCUGUCCUUGAACUCCGAAAUCUAGCUUCUACUUCCCACGUGCUGGGUCACAGGUGAGUGUCACCUUGCCUGGCUGUGCCUAGAUUCUUUCUGUCAAUACAACUUUUAUGAGUCUGAGUUGUGCUAUUUAUCAAGUGAAUUCUAAUGAACCACUAGAUCCCUAAGCAAUGCAUGAGGUAAAGGGAAAUUUGGAGACCUCCCUUUUUCUCAGGUCACACCCAGAAGGUCCACCACACAGGUGCACUUCCUCAUGCACACAGGGCAAGCCACCCACACUUGCCCAACCUUGUAUGCAGAAACUUGAGACAACAGAGUCAGUGAUUAGCUCCGUGCAAUUAGGCAAAUCACUAAUUCCAUCCAGGUCUCUCAAACAUGAAUAUAUUAACAGCACUGCCUAACACAUUUGCAGUGGUGACUGAAUGAAGUGGCCCAUGUGGAAUUAUUUCUAACAGGGACAUCCCCCAAAUCACAUCCUUUUCUUAAAUAAAGAAAAAGUGAGGCAAACCAUUGGGGCUCCACACCACCCACUCUGACACAUCAACAAAAAGUUUUUGUUUUAAACCCUUUGCUCUACACAGGAACUAUGGUGUUCAUAGCACCUAACUUGCUGUGUGCUACAUUAGUUAAUAUACCCCAACUGUGUAUGUCCAUUUGUUUACUGCUAGUGUAGACAAAAAUCCAUGACAUUUGUUACACCAAGAAACUAAAGAACGAUGUAUACAGGUGAUAGAAGAACAACGGACAACUCUCUGGCAAUUUUAAACAAGAGGGCACAAAUAUCUACCUAAUUCAGUAGUAGCAUGGGCUGUAUUAAAUGUGAAAUAUUAAUGGCUCUGCAGCAGGAAGAGGAAGAGAGAUGUCCUUAUCUCACUUUUAUUCGUGGGGCUCCAGUUAACACUGGGAGUUAAUCGCCUAACAUAUUCACAUGAAUAUUGAAAGGGAAUGCUUUGUUUGCAUAUGAAAUUAUCUCAUACCAGGGAAAGAGAAGGAACUCUUCCCAAGAAUAUUAAAAGGGGUAAGGAACUCCACAAGGUGGCCAGACUUAAGAAAUAGACUGGGAUUACUCAUUGCUUAUUGUUUUUUCUUCUCAACAUGGAUAUAGAAAUGACACAAAUCCCCUUUUCAGCCAGAAACUCACAGAUAGAAUACAUAGAAUCCACGAGAGGCAGGACAGGAUUUGCCUGGAGGGCAGGGGUGAGGUGAGUAAAGAUACAGAAGCCUCAAGUACAAGGUUACUUGUCCAUCGUCUGUCUCUGAAUAGGUGAAUUGGGGAUUUGGGUGUCUGGUAAUUCAUCUUAAGGCUCACAACAAAUAGGCUGUCAUUGUUGUUAGACAGAGAUCAUGACCUUGCUGAUAUUAGGGCAAAACUAAGAAGACUUAGUGUAAAGCCAAUAUUACCAAAUCAGUAUGGGAUUGGCAGAAACAAGGAGAAAAACAGAUCAUUUGGAAAUACAAAAACAAAAACAAAAAACCUUGGAAAUAGCCCAUUCUUUAUGGAAAAUAUCAUAUGACACAGGUGUAGCACAUUAUGAACAUAAAUGUGGCCUUUCUAUGUGAGGAUCUACAAUGGAAAACACAGUGUCAGACCAACUUGGAAUGAUAUAUGCAGAUAGACACUUCAUAUCUAGUAAAGAACCAAUGUUUUAAGAAGCUGUAAGUGCAUUGGGGAAGCUAUGGGUAUGAUCAUUAUUGAGGACUAUGAAGAAUUCCUAGAUGCCAUAGGAAAGAAAGUUACAGAAUGGAUAGAUUUGUCUACAUUACAAAAAAAAUCAUCACUAUGUGAGAAAAGGCCCCAGAUGCUCAGACGCUUUGUAAGCAGACUAAGUAGAUGGGGAGGAAACACUUGCAGCAUGAAGACUAUCACCAUUCCCAUGUAGAAAGCCUCAAAUUUGAUAAUAAAAA